GGGAUUGCCCUAGUAACGGCGAGUGAAGCGGCAACAGCUCAAAUUUGAAAUCUGGCCCUAGCGGUCCGAGUUGUAAUUUGCAGAGGAUGCUUUUGGCGCGGUGCCUUCUGAGUUCCCUGGAACGGGACGCCAGAGAGGGUGAGAGCCCCGUACGGUUGGACACCUAGCCUAUAUAUAGCUCCUUCGACGAGUCGAGUAGUUUGGGAAUGCUGCUCUAAGCGGGAGGUAAAUUUCUUCUAAAGCUAAAUACCGGCCAGAGACCGAUAGCGCACAAGUAGAGUGAUCGAAAGAUGAAAAGCACUUUGAAAAGAGGGUUAAAUAGCACGUGAAAUUGUUGAAAGGGAAGCGUUUGCGACCAGACCUUUUCUAGGGGGAUCAUCUGGUGUUCUCACCGGUGCACUCCCCGUAGUUUAGGCCAGCAUCGGUUUUCUUAGGGGGAUAAAGGCCUGGGGAACGUAGCUCUUUAGGGAGUGUUAUAGCCCCUGGCAUAAUACCCCUCGGGGGACCGAGGACCGCGCUUCGGCAAGGAUGCUGGCGUAAUGGUCGUCAACGACCCGUCUUGAAACACGGACCAAGGAGUCGAACAUUUAUGCGAGUGUUUGGGUGUUAAACCCUCACGCGUAAUGAAAGUGAACGGAGGUGAGAGCCCUUACGGGCGCAUCAUCGACCGAUCCUGAUGUCUUCGGAUGGAUUUGAGUAAGAGCAUAACUGUUCGGACCCGAAAGAUGGUGAACUAUGCGUGGAUAGGGUGAAGCCAGAGGAAACUCUGGUGGAGGCUCGCAGCGGUUCUGACGUGCAAAUCGAUCGUCAAAUCUGCGCAUGGGGGCGAAGACUUAUCGAACCAUCUAGUAGCUGGUUACCG
rnacentral:rRNA from 1 species